UACGAAGGGUGCAAGCGUUACUCGGAAUUACUGGGCGUAAAGGGUGCGUAGGUGGUUGUUUAAGUCUGUUGUGAAAGCCCCGGGCUCACGUCUGGGAAUGGCAAUGGAUACUGGACAGCUAGAGUGCGGUAGAGGGUAGUGGAAUUCCCGGUGUAGCAGUGAAAUGCGUAGAGAUCGGGAGGAACACCAGUGGCGAAGGCGGCUACCUGGACCAGCACUGACACUGAAGCACGAAAAGCGUGGGGGAGCAAACAGG
rnacentral:rRNA from 1 species